UUUAUUCCCCACACACUCACAAAUCACUUCACAUGCAUAAGGUUUGUUUUCUCUUUUUUAUUUUCUUUCUCCUCUACUCUCUCCUCUCAGCUCCAAACCCAGCCCAUGUGAAAUCGGAUUGUGGACAUCAAUGUUGAGGUGAGAUCGGAUUCGUGGGCAUCUUCUUAGCUGUUUAUCUAUUUCUGCAACUUCCUAGGUCUUGUCGACGAUUCCAAACCAAAAUGUUUGGGACUAUUUGGUUCUCUAUCUAUCUAUUUAAGUCAUUUGCCUACAACCAAUACAAACCUAAAAAUAAACUAUAAGAACUACACUUUUUUGUUGUUGUUGUUAUUACUUCGGUGUGGAGAUCAGAUUCAUGGGUUUGGAUUGCCGAUUUUGUGAUUUGUGAGGUGUCGUCAUGCUCGGAUUUGUGGGUUUGAGUUGGCCGUGCUCUGAUGGCUUGAUUGUGGCUUGCUCAUGGGUUUGAUUUAGUGGGACUUGGUGCUAGUGGGUUUUGGUUGUGUUUGUAUUGGUGAUAAUGGUUUUAAUGGUGGAUUUUGACUCAGUAGUGUUUCUUGGCGAAAGUGGGUUGCUAGGUUUUGCUAGGUUUUUUGUGGUGGGUUGUUGAUAACGGUGGUUGUCGUUGUGGUUAUGGUGGUGGUUUUGUUUUGCAUUUUUUUGUUUUUCAGUGGAUUGUGGCUACCACAGUGGUGGUGAGAAGGUUGUGGUGGGUGGUUGUUGUGAGUUUUUGUGGGGAAGUUUUAUUUUAUUUUAAUAAGUUGUUUAUAUUAUUUUAAUGAGAUGAAUGUUAAUAUAGAUUCUUUGAUUUAUUUUA